rnacentral:lncRNA from 1 species
CCGUAGUGCCAUUUGCAUCAUUUCCUUGCUGCCUCGAGGCCUGAUAGGCUCAUAGCUAAUGGAUCUUCCUAUGAUCCUGACCGAUGGGGACGACGGGUGGGCCGUGCGUUGAGUCUGCUUUUGUCUGUGGGGUGAAUUCCUGGCACCUCCACUUCCUAACAGAAACAUAGUUAUAGUACAUGCCUCAUGCAUUUUAGCAAGAUCCACUGUAAAACUAUUCUUCUUGACUUCUCAUCUAC